UGGAGAAGCAGGGCACGUGUG
rnacentral:miRNA from 2 species